rnacentral:rRNA from 1 species
UACGCCCUUAUGCAAGCGUUAUCCGGAAUUAUUGGGCGUAAAGCGUUUGUAGGCGGGCGAGUGUGUUUAAUGUUAAAUCUUAAAGCUCAACUUUGAAAUUGCGUUAAAAACUGCUUGUCUUGAGUAUGGUAGGGGUAAAGGGAAUUCCCAGUGUAGCGGUGAAAUGCGUAGAUAUUGGGAAGAACACUAAACAGCGAAGGCACUUUACUAGGCUAAUACUGACGCUGAGAAACGAAAGGUAAGGUAGCGAAACGGAUUAGAUACCCGUGUAGUCUUACCCGUAAACUAUGGACACUAAACGGUAAAUUUUUAAUUUACUGUUAAAGCUAACGCGUUAAGUGUCCCGCCUGGGGAGUAUGCUUGCAAAAGUGAAACUCAAAGGAAUUGACGGGGGCCCGCACAAGCGGUGGAGCAUGUGGUUUAAUUCGACGGUACACGAAGAACCUUACCAGGAUUUGACAUGCUAGAUAGUUGCUUGAAAGAGUAACGUGCCGUAAGGAAUCUAGACACAGGUGGUGCAUGGCUGUCGUCAGUUCGUGUUGUGAAAUGUUGGGUUAAGUCCCGCAACGAACGCAACCCUUGUCUUUAGUUAUUUUCUAAAGAGACUGCCUGUAAUAAACAGGAGGAAGGUAAGGAUGAGGUCAAGUCAUCAUGCCCCUUAUGUCCUGGGCUACACACGUGCUACAAUGGGAAAGACAAUGAGCUGCAAAUCUGUAAAUUUAAGCAAAUCUCUUAAACUUUCUCGUAGUUCGGAUUGUGGGCUGCAACUCGCCCACAUGAAGUUGGAAUCGCUAGUAAUCGCCAGUCAGCUAUAUGGCGGUGAAUCCGUUCCCGGGCCU